rnacentral:rRNA from 1 species
UACCAGCACCCCGAGUGGUCGGGACGAUUAUUGGGCCUAAAGCAUCCGUAGCCGGUUUUACAAGUCCUCCGUUAAAUCCAGCUGCUUAACAGAUGGGCUGCGGAGGAUACUAUAAGACUAGGAGGCAGGAGAGGCAAGCGGUACUUAGUGGGUAGGGGUAAAAUCCGUUGAUCCAUUGAAGACCACCAGUGGCGAAGGCGGCUUGCCAGAACGCACUCGACGGUGAGGGAUGAAAGCUGGGGGAGCAAACCGG